rnacentral:rRNA from 1 species
CCUACGGGGGGCAGCAGUGGGGGAUAUUGCACAAUGGGGGGAACCCUGAUGCAGCGACGCCGCGUGGGCGAUGGAGUGCUUCGGCAUGUAAAGCCCUAUCAGCAGGGAAGAAAAUGACGGUACCUGACUAAGAAGCCCCGGCUAAAUACGUGCCAGCAGCCGCGGUAAUACGGAGGAUGCGAGCGUUAUCCGGAUUUAUUGGGUUUAAAGGGUGCGCAGGCGGGAGAUCAAGUCAGCGGUAAAAUGUAGGGGCUCAACCCCGGCCGGCCGUUGAAACUGGUUUUCUAGAGUUGGAGAGAAGUAUG